rnacentral:rRNA from 1 species
UACACACGUGCUACAAUGGGUGGUACAAAGAGAAGCCAACUCGCGAGAGCGCGCCAAUCUCAAAAAGCCAUCCUCAGUUCGGAUUGGAGUCUGCAACUCGACUCCAUGAAGUUGGAAUCGCUAGUAAUCGCGGAUCAGCAUGCCGCGGUCGAAUACGUUCCCGGGCCUU